ACAAUGGGCGCAAGCCUGAUCCAGCCAUACCGCGUGGGUGAAGAAGGCCUUCGGGUUGUAAAGCCCUUUUGUUGGGAAAGAAAUCCAGCUGGCUAAUACCCGGUUGGGAUGACGGUACCCAAAGAAUAAGCACCGGCUAACUUCGUGCCAGCAGCCGCGGUAAUACGAAGGGUGCAAGCGUUACUCGGAAUUACUGGGCGUAAAGCGUGCGUAGGUGGUCGUUUAAGUCCGUUGUGAAAGCCCUGGGCUCAACCUGGGAACUGCAGUGGAUACUGGGCGACUAGAGUGUGGUAGAGGGUAGCGGAAUUCCUGGUGUAGCAGUGAAAUGCGUAGAGAUCAGGAGGAACAUCCAUGGCGAAGGCAGCUACCUGGACCAACACUGACACUGAGGCACGAAAGCGUGGGGAGCAAACAGGAUUAGAUACCCUGGUAGUCCACGCCCUAAACGAUGCGAACUGGAUGUUGGGUGCAAUUUGGCACGCAGUAUCGAAGCUAACGCGUUAAGUUCGCCGCCUGGGGAGUACGGUCGCAAGACUGAAACUCAAAGGAAUUGACGGGGGCCCGCACAAGCGGUGGAGUAUGUGGUUUAAUUCGAUGCAACGCGAAGAACCUUACCUGGCCUUGACAUGUCGAGAACUUUCCAGAGAUGGAUUGGUGC
rnacentral:rRNA from 1 species